AUUAAAAAAAAAAAAAAAAAGAGACAACCUUUAAGCGGUAGACAUGUUAGAUAAGCGACUAGGCGUUGGCCGGAAAUUCCACCAGCGAAGGGUCAACUUCCGAUUGGGCGGUGUCAAGGCCCUCCUAAUUAUCUCUUUAUUCGCUUGACGCCUUUUCAACUUGUCACCAGGAAUAAGAUAACCAUGGCGGCUACACCUGGCAGAACCAGGACGGUUGGAGCAGGUACAAGAUGGACGUAACCUAGGAGAAGAUACAGGUGGUAGACGAUGAUUUCUACGGACCCGAUUGGUGUGAGCGGUGGUGUUUUCGGACGGCGGCGACUGUGUGGUCGGAAGUUGAAGCCUUUGAUUGUGGGGGAUGUUCAUUUUUGUUUGGAGGAUGGAGAAAAUGGAAGGGAGGGGUGGGGUUUUAUUGUGUUGGAAAAUGAGGAGUUGUUGGAAGACUUUUUCUUUGGCGAGUGGAAAAAGGCCGAGAGAGUUGACAAGCUGAACAGCUUGGUGAGUGCUUGGCCUUGGAAUUGUGAGGAUCGCAGAAAGAGCCUUAACUUUUGACCAUUAGAUUUAAUACCUGUCCAAACGGAGACGUUUGCUCGGUGUCCUUUGAGUGGAUACUUUUCACAAUUGCUCUUCUGUACGCCACAACUGGAACCUUCUGUCAUUUUUUUGGUCUAGGCUGCGUUGUUCUUUGCUUAUUCG
rnacentral:misc_RNA from 1 species